CAACUCGCGGGAAAUUUUGACCUGAAUUCUUGGACAAACGUUUUGAUGCAGAUUUUGUUCAACCACAGAAAAAUACAAGAAAUAAUUGUGGUAAUUCUAUUAGAGAAUGUGGAUGUCGACGAAACAAUGUUGCAAAUUAUCUGGGGUACAUACUUCCUUUUCAAGGUACAAACGAACAUAUAUUGGUGUGAAAUAUAGAUCAUUAGUGUGAUUCUGUUAAAGACCGAACAGAAUGACAAUCCGCUCUAAACACUGAAUUUGUGGUAUAAUUAAUGCACUGAACGCAAAAUAUAAAGCGGUUUUCAAGAAAUGUUCAGAACCCGCCGUGGCUAGUAUAAGGUGUGUGCAGCCGAUCGCACUUGUCUUACGCAAGGGCGUCUAAACCAGUCCCAACUCAGUCGCGCACGAUCGGCAAAAUGCCUGAAUGACAUUAUGUGUGUUAAAUCAUGUAAGACAGACUUCGAAGAAGACAAGGAAGUUCUCACAGGAAAACCCUAGUGCCUAAGUGGCUGCCACAUGUUGAUGGACAAGGAAUGCCUUUAAUCAGUUUACUGAUGUUUUUUCUCUUGCUUCGUGCUGACCUCAUAGGCGGGACUAUUAAAGGAGCCGAAAAAAUAUGCCAGGUGGAAGGUGAGCCUAUGACUUUACCCGGCAUUACUGAAGACCCCUGUAUAGCGUGUCACUGCAGG